AUUCCAGCUCCAAUAGCGUAUAUUAAAGUUGUUGCAGUUAAAAAGCUCGUAGUCGAACUUUGGUAGAGUGAAAUGCGUCGGCCGAACGGUCAGUAUGUGUUUUGCGCUACUUCCUUCUGGAGGCUGCGUCUGUUCUUAACUGAGUGGGCGUAGAGUUCAGGAAUUUUACUUUGAGAAAAUUAGAGUGUUCAAAGCAGGCCUAUGCUGUGAAUACAUUAGCAUGGAAUAAUGGAAUAGGACUUUGGUUCUAUUUUGUUGGUUUCUAGAACCGAAGUAAUGAUUAAUAGGGAUAGUUGGGGGCAUUCAUAUUUAAUUGUCAGAGGUGAAAUUCUUGGAUUUAUGAAAGAUGAACUUCUGCGAAAGCAUUUACCAAGGAUGUUUUCAUUA
rnacentral:rRNA from 1 species